AACGAACGCUGGCGGCAUGCCUAACACAUGCAAGUCGCACGGACGUAGCAAUACGUUAGUGGCGCACGGGAGAGUAACACGUGGGAAUCUACCUUUUAGUUCGGAACAACACCGGGAAACUGGUGCUAAUACCGGAUACGCCCCGAGGGGGAAAGAUUUAUCGCUAAAAGAGGAGCCCGCGUCUGAUUAGCUAGUUGGUGAGGUAAUGGCUCACCAAGGCGACGAUCAGUAGCUGGUCUGAGAGGACGAUCAGCCUCACUGGGACUGAGACACGGCCCAGACUCCUACGGGAGGCAGCAGUGGGGAAUAUUGGACAAUGGGGGAAACCCUGAUCCAGCAAUGCCGCGUGAGUGAUGAAGGUCUUCGGAUUGUAAAGCUCUUUUGGCAGGGACGAUGAUGACGGUACCUGCAGAAUAAGCUCCGGCUAACUUCGUGCCAGCCGCCGCGGUAA
rnacentral:rRNA from 1 species